rnacentral:rRNA from 1 species
GGGUUGUGAGGUUAAGCGACUAAGCGUACACGGUGGAUGCCCUGGCAGUCAGAGGCGAUGAAGGACGUGCUAAUCUGCGAAAAGCGUCGGUAAGGUGAUAUGAACCGUUACAGCCGGCGAUGUCCGAAUGGGGAAACCCAGUGCAAUUCGUUGCACUAUCGUUAACUGAAUACAUAGGUUAACGAGGCGAACCGGGGGAACUGAAACAUCUAAGUACCCCGAGGAAAAGAAAUCAACCGAGAUUCCCCCAGUAGCGGCGAGCGAACGGGGAGCAGCCCAGAGUCUGAAUCAGCUUGUGUGUUAGUGGAACGGUCUGGAAAGUCCGACGGUACAGGGUGAUAGUCCCGUACACCAAAAUGCACAGGCUGUGAACUCGAAGAGUAGGGCGGGACACGUGGUAUCCUGUCUGAAUAUGGGGGGACCAUCCUCCAAGGCUAAAUACUCCUGACUGACCGAUAGUGAACCAGUACCGUGAGGGAAAGGCGAAAAGAACCCCGGCGAGGGGAGUGAAAAAGAACCUGAAACCGUGUACGUACAAGCAGUGGGAGCACCUUCGGGUGUGACUGCGUACCUUUUGUAUAAUGGGUCAGCGACUUAUAUUCUGUAGCAAGGUUAACCGUAUAGGGGAGCCGCAGGGAAACCGAGUCUUAACUGGGCGUUAAGUUGCAGGGUAUAGACCCGAAACCCGGUGAUCUAGCCAUGGGCAGGUUGAAGGUUGGGUAACACUAACUGGAGGACCGAACCGACUAAUGUUGAAAAAUUAGCGGAUGACUUGUGGCUGGGGGUGAAAGGCCAAUCAAACCGGGAGAUAGCUGGUUCUCCCCGAAAGCUAUUUAGGUAGCGCCUCGUGAAUUCAUCUUCGGGGGUAGAGCACUGUUUCGGCUAGGGGGUCAUCCCGACUUACCAACCCGAUGCAAACUACGAAUACCGAAGAAUGUUAUCACGGGAGACACACGGCGGGUGCUAACGUCCGUCGUGAAGAGGGAAACAACCCAGACCGCCAGCUAAGGUCCCAAAGUCAUGGUUAAGUGGGAAACGAUGUGGGAAGGCACAGACAGCCAGGAUGUUGGCUUAGAAGCAGCCAUCAUUUAAAGAAAGCGUAAUAGCUCACUGGUCGAGUCGGCCUGCGCGGAAGAUGUAACGGGGCUAAACCAUGCACCGAAGCUGCGGCAGCGACACUAUGUGUUGUUGGGUAGGGGAGCGUUCUGUAAGCCUGCGAAGGUGACCUGUGAGGGUUGCUGGAGGUAUCAGAAGUGCGAAUGCUGACAUAAGUAACGAUAAAGCGGGUGAAAAGCCCGCUCGCCGGAAGACCAAGGGUUCCUGUCCAACGUUAAUCGGGGCAGGGUGAGUCGACCCCUAAGGCGAGGCCGAAAGGCGUAGUCGAUGGGAAACAGGUUAAUAUUCCUGUACUUGGUGUUACUGCGAAGGGGGGACGGAGAAGGCUAUGUUAGCCGGGCGACGGUUGUCCCGGUUUAAGCAUGUAGGCUGGUUAUCCAGGCAAAUCCGGAUAAUCAAGGCUGAGGUGUGAUGACGAGGCACUACGGUGCUGAAGUAACAAAUGCCCUGCUUCCAGGAAAAGCCUCUAAGCAUCAGGUAACAUCAAAUCGUACCCCAAACCGACACAGGUGGUCAGGUAGAGAAUACCAAGGCGCUUGAGAGAACUCGGGUGAAGGAACUAGGCAAAAUGGUGCCGUAACUUCGGGAGAAGGCACGCUGGUGUGUAGGUGAAGUCCCUGCGGAUGGAGCUGAGACCAGUCGAAGAUACCAGCUGGCUGCAACUGUUUAUUAAAAACACAGCACUGUGCAAACACGAAAGUGGACGUAUACGGUGUGACGCCUGCCCGGUGCCGGAAGGUUAAUUGAUGGGGUUAUCCGUAAGGAGAAGCUCUUGAUCGAAGCCCCGGUAAACGGCGGCCGUAACUAUAACGGUCCUAAGGUAGCGAAAUUCCUUGUCGGGUAAGUUCCGACCUGCACGAAUGGCGUAAUGAUGGCCAGGCUGUCUCCACCCGAGACUCAGUGAAAUUGAACUCGCUGUGAAGAUGCAGUGUACCCGCGGCAAGACGGAAAGACCCCGUGAACCUUUACUAUAGCUUGACACUGAACAUUGAGCCUUGAUGUGUAGGAUAGGUGGGAGGCUUUGAAGCGUGGACGCCAGUCUGCGUGGAGCCAACCUUGAAAUACCACCCUUUAAUGUUUGAUGUUCUAACGUUGGCCCCUUACCGGGGUUGCGGACAGUGUCUGGUGGGUAGUUUGACUGGGGCGGUCUCCUCCCAAAGCGUAACGGAGGAGCACGAAGGUUAGCUAAUCCUGGUCGGACAUCAGGAGGUUAGUGCAAUGGCAUAAGCUAGCUUGACUGCGAGCGUGACGGCGCGAGCAGGUGCGAAAGCAGGUCAUAGUGAUCCGGUGGUUCUGAAUGGAAGGGCCAUCGCUCAACGGAUAAAAGGUACUCCGGGGAUAACAGGCUGAUACCGCCCAAGAGUUCAUAUCGACGGCGGUGUUUACCUCGAUGUCGGCUCAUCACAUCCUGGGGCUGAAGUAGGUCCCAAGGGUAUGGCUGUUCGCCAUUUAAAGUGGUACGCGAGCUGGGUUUAGAACGUCGUGAGACAGUUCGGUCCCUAUCUGCCGUGGGCGCUGGAGAAUUGAGGGGGGCUGCUCCUAGUACGAGAGGACCGGAGUGGACGCAUCACUGGUGUUCGGGUUGUCAUGCCAAUGGCACUGCCCGGUAGCUAAAUGCGGAAGAGAUAAGUGCUGAAAGCAUCUAAGCACGAAACUUGCCCCGAGAUGAGUUCUCCCUGAGACUUUAAGUCUCCUGAAGGAACGUUAAAGACGAUGACGUUGAUAGGCCGGGUGUGUAAGCGCAGCGAUGCGUUGAGCUAACCGGUACUAAUGAACCGUGAGGCUUAACCUUACAACGCCGAAG